GAUGAACGCUAGCGACAGGCCUAACACAUGCAAGUCGAGGGGCAGCACAUGAGUGGCAAUACGAUGGUGGCGACCGGCGCACGAGUGAGUAACACGUAUGCAACCUGCCUUCUACUAUGGGAUAACCCGUUGAAAGACGGACUAAUACCGUAUAAUACAGGGGCUCCGCAUGGCGAUAUUUGUUAAAGAUUUAUUGGUAGAAGGUGGGCAUGCGUAUGAUUAGAUAGUUGGUGAGGUAACGGCUCACCAAGUCAACGAUCAUUAGGGGUUCUGAGAGGAAGGGCCCCCACACUGGUACUGAGACACGGACCAGACUCCUACGGGAGGCAGCAGUGAGGAAUAUUGGUCAAUGGACGAGAGUCUGAACCAGCCAAGUCGCGUGAAGGAAGACGGUUCUAUGAAUUGUAAACUUCUUUUGUGCAGGAAUAAAGUGGGUUACGUGUAACCUUUUGUAUGCACUGUACGAAUAAGGAUCGGCUAACUCCGUGCCAGCCGCCGCGGUAAAAC
rnacentral:rRNA from 1 species